CCAUGAUCCAUGCCAUGCCCUUGGUGAUCUUGUAGGGAUAAAGAAACAUUUUAGAAGAAAACACAGCAACCACAAACAAUGGGUCUGUGAGAAAUGUUCUAAAGGUUAUGCUGUUCAAUCUGAUUAUAAAGCUCAUCUCAAAACCUGUGGCACCAGAGGCCAUUCUUGCGAUUGCGGCCGCGUUUUCUCGAGAGUUGAGAGUUUUAUCGAGCACCAAGACACUUGCAAUAUGGGACGUUUACGACCUGAAUUACAGUCACUACAGCCUGCAUGCUUGUCUAG
rnacentral:misc_RNA from 1 species